CAAGUUUAUUCUAGGCGUAGCCCCUAGCAUGUAAAAGGCGAACGACUCUUGCUCAACUAAGCAGCUGACGUGAGUUCAAGAGGCUGGCCUUCAACUCGACUGACCUGUUCAUUCAGCAAGUCUGUCAAAAUUUUCAGUAAGUUUUUGUCUAUUUUGGGUAUUAACAAAGGGUUACUGGACAUCAUCACUGUUCAAAUCUUGAUUGAUAUUGGUAGUACCCUUAAAUUUUUUCUAUAGUACCUUUCUGAAGCAUUCAAGUGCAAUAACAUCCCAAAAGAACAGUCUGCAAGUGUUGUUAAUGGCACUGGUAUGUAGGUUUCUGAAUCAUGUUCUAGAUUCCAACAUAUGUUGCAGGUGUCUUUCUCUGCAGAUUUUGUUAUACCAUCUUGAGGGACCAGUUAUGUGGAGCUAGGUGUUCAAUGCUUGCUGAACCUCGGUGCUACUAAAAUGAAUUUCACUAGGUAAUUCAUCAUCUAUGCUAGCAAUAAACAUGUACUGGGAGGAGCAAUUUGUAAGGCGAGGUUUGCAGGAGAAAAACUUUCCAAAGAAGGGGCAUAAUUGCAUAUUAGGCAUCUGGUAAACACUUAUCAGUCUACACAACCCACAGUACAGCUUCAUUCUUCUGAAAUCAUAGUUGAUAGUGAUGGACAUUACUAGUUACAUAAAUUGUUAAUAAGGUUCAAAGUUACAUCUGUAGAAAAUGCUGGAUUACUAUCAUUUAGAGGUGUAUUUGACGAUAAAGUAGCUCUACAGUCAAACAACCUACCUGUAAAGCAAAGACCUUAGAGAUAUCCUAUAUGCAGGCCAUUAAGGAAAAGUGUCACAUCCCUAUCAUCGAAGACCUAUUGGUUGAAUUAGGUGGAGCAAGGUCUUACCUAGAAUAGACUUGAGGUAUAGGUGCAACUAAUUGAGCAUGUCAUCUCAGGAUGCACCCAAAUCUGCAUAUAAAACUCAUUCAAGGCAUUUUUUUUUAAGUUCAAGGCAUUAUGAGUAUUUGGUCAUGCUUUUGAACUGACCAAUGCACCUAUAUCCUUUCAAGGUUAAUGAAUUCAGCUUUUAGUAAUGUUUGCACAAAUUUAUAUUGAUUGUCUUUGAUGACAUUAGUAGUAGUUCGCAAGAAUGUUGGCAGGAAUAAGCUUGGACUUUAUUUGAGGACUUACCUCAUUUCGGGGUUGCCUGUAAGCAGGCUACUGGGAAGAGGACAAAGAAGAUGAUAAGAAAAAUGCAUAAGCAUGAACUGACGAAGAAGGCAUUUGAGAGCUCAAACGUUCACUAGUGAAAGUUCGUCAAAGAAGGGAGAGCAGCGUUUAUAUACAAUAAGCACCCCCUGCCCUCCUUGUUCAUUUAUUUCAAGUGCGAAGAGUCAAGUAUUUCCCUACCUUGUUAUUUUUUUAGAAGAAUGGCACUGGUAUAUUCCUAAAAAGGGGAUUCUCGGAGCCUUCUUGGAUAACCUUUUUCUGGAUAGUCAGACCGCUAGUUUUUCUCGAUUAAGCAGUUUCUACGAGACCUUUGGCUAAGCAACGAAGAAAGAUUGUAGGAGAGAGGCUAUGACAAGUAUAAGCGGACACCCACUAUUGGAGAUUAUCGUAAAAAUUGCAGGGCGCCCCCUUUUAACCUCUAGCCGCUUUGUCUUUUUUGUUUGCAUCCAUACUCACUUUUUAAAAAAUUUCAGCUUCCCUUUCUCCUCCCCUUACAACAUAGAAAGUUCAGCUUUAGAGUUGAAGUUUUCCAGUUACUACACAAAAACUUCAGCUCUAGAGCUGAAGUUUUUAUUUUAUAAGUUGAAAGAGCUGAAGUUUUUAUUUUAUAACUGGAAAACUUAAGCUGGAAACUGCUUAAGUUUUUAUUUUAUAACUAGAAAACUUAAACUCUAGAGCUUAAGUUUUUAUUUUAUAACUGGAAAACUUAAGGUGGAAAACUGCUUAAGUUUUUCGGUUACAAUGACAAUAACUUCAGCUUAAGUUUUCCAGUACUAAAGAAAAACUUCAGCCCGUAGGCUGAAGUUAUGUGAAAAAGCAGGUACGAUUGCAAUUUUUUUUGCAAAGUGGGCACAAGCUAAAAUGUGGCACAAAAAACAGGUAUAGAUGCAAAUGCCCCGAGAUUAUCCGAAUGAGACUUUGGAACUUAAUUUGAUGUUGUUGUGCGUAGUUUAAGUCAAAUGAACUAAGGAUGGAAAACAAUAAAAUUUAGAGCUAAUUGAAUCGAAAUAUGUGAAAUAGAUUCAUUAGAUAUAGUUUAAUUAAACACUACUAUAUAGCAUAGAGUCAUCACCACAUUUUCCCCCUUAAUACAACACAAUCCACAGUGUAAAGAAAGACACAAGGAAAAUGUUGAAAAAACGUAUCAUAAUAUCACUUUCUUCCCUUUUAUUCUUUCAUAACGUCACAGUUAUUCCACCAAACCACCUGUCUUAUAGAGCAGCCAACAACUCUUUGUUACAUAUGUUAUAAACUGAAUUACCAUAUCAACUGCUCGCGCCAGCGACUUUAUCAAGACAAUCGCUGGCAAUGCCUUCAGCCCAAUUCUGAAAUUUCUGAAAGGCAGGGUCAUCUCCAUACAUCUCGGCAGCACAGUCUUUGCAAGUCUCAAUGAAUGAGGUCAUGGCACUAAUAUCCACAUUAGCUUUGAAGUAAUUUCCAAAAUUGACAUCUUCUGUGGCCUUCGUCAUGGAAUCCAUGGCAUCUUCGUAAACUUCCUUGCAUGUCUCUAGGCAAUCCUUAUGAUUGCUGUCCAUCUUUUUAUCAGCCAGCCUUUUAUCAAUGACAUUUUUGAUGAAUUCCUCGGUCUUGGUCAUGGUACCAACCAUACUUGCUUUGACAAAUGAAGGAAUAUCACUUGCUUUGGCUACUAGAGGUUUUGUGGGUAUAUCAAAGAUUUGAGAAGAGGAGACAGAUGAUGAAUCUGAGGAUGAAUCUAAGGAUGGUGAUGGUGAGAGAGAUGUCGAUGGGUACCCAUAUGCCUUAGAGGGAAGAAUUGCUAGGAAGAAAGAAAUGGCAAUAACAACAAGCAUAGUUUGUGUUUGGAGGGCCAUUGCUUUUUUCCUAUUCGUUGUUUUAUCGUAGAAAGAAGGAGAAAACCAACCGGAUAAGGGUAAAUGAUAUGAGGAAAGUGGGGUAAUAUAUAUAUAUAUUAAAAAUUUUACUAGCUAGUGGCUAUGCUUAAAUAUAGAUUGUCUAAAUAUAUAUAUAGCAACUAACCUUCAUUCACUGGUUCAUUUUAAAGUUGCUGGUUCUAAGGAAUUUAACACCUCUCUUUCUAGUUUAUUCUCUAUAAGAAAGCUUUGCCUGACACAUGUUAAUGCAUAUACUAUGGCUUGAAAAGCUCAAAAUGAUAGAACAAUUAUUUUAAUUUCCGUAACAAUAACCUCCCACGUGAUUUAUAUAUUACGUCCACCUCCUUUACUUUGAUUCAUAACAAUUUUUUUUAAUCUAUUUAUUAUAUAAUUAAUGUUAAAAAAAAUUGCAGCAUGACAACUUUACCCUUAGUAAUAUACUCAACCAGUAAUUUGCAAAUAAUAAAAGAAGAUUUAUAAAUAUAAAUAAACUAAUUAUAAUAUCAAGUCAUUACUGCAUAUACGAGCAAUCCCUGCGUCUUAGUUUGAAGACAUGCGAGUUCUAAAAGGAGCUGCGAGCAUAAGUCGAGGUUCAGGUUCAAGUUUAUGUCAUCAUGUGUGUAUGCCAAAUUAGGUAAAACUAAUUGCCUCCUGCUUGAAAGACGAAUUUUUUUUAUAGGAUGGUUAAAGAUUAACAAUUUGUGUUCAUGAAAGACAUGGAUUCAUUCUGUAGGAAGAAACUUGAGAAUUCAAUAGUUUCCUUUGGUUUAGUUGUAUACAGCUAAAACAGGUCCUAUCUGAUUUUACUGUUUGAUCUAGGCCAGGGAAUUGCAUCGAACGCCGCCUCGUAGGGGACCAGACAAGAGCACAAGGACAAGGUAUCAAGUUCGAGGAUCGAGAUGCCUAUCGAGAUCGGGUCCAGCAACAAUCGAGAUCAGAUAUGGAAGACUUCGAGCAAAGUCAAUAGCGGAAAAGCGAGAUAUUUGUGACCCGUCAAAGAUCACGUCGGAAAUUCCGGAACAACUCAAAUCAAGGGCGGUUGUUUAGGCUAAUCAUAAGAUUUACUUUCAUAAUUAGAAUUGUACCAUGAUAGGAUUCCUCUACUAUAUAAAGAGGGUGCUUAUCAUUUUGUAAACACUUUACUUUCAC
rnacentral:lncRNA from 1 species